rnacentral:rRNA from 1 species
GAUGAACGCUAGCGGCAGGCCUAACACAUGCAAGUCGAGGGAGAAGCUCUUCGGGGCAGAAACCGGCGCACGGGUGCGUAACGCGUAUGCAACCUACCUUUCACAGGGGGAUAGCCCGAAGAAAUUUGGAUUAAUACCCCAUAAUAUUAUUGGAUGGCAUCAUUUGGUAAUUAAAAUUACGAUGGUGAAAGAUGGGCAUGCGUCCUAUUAGCUAGUUGGAGUGGUAACGGCACCCCAAGGCUACGAUAGGUAGGGGUCCUGAGAGGGAGAUCCCCCACACUGGUACUGAGACAGGGACCAGACUCCUACGGGAGGCAGCAGUGAGGAAUAUUGGUCAAUGGUCGGAAGACUGAACCAGCCAUGCCGCGUGCAGGAAGAAUGCCUUAUGGGUUGUAAACUGCUUUUAUAUGGGAAGAAUAAGGAGUACGUGUACUUNGANGACGGUNCCA